AGAGUUUGAUCAUGGCUCAGAUUGAACGCUGGCGGCAGGCCUAACACAUGCAAGUCGAGCGGUAACAGGAAGUAAGCUUGCUUAUUUUGCUGACGAGCGGCGGACGGGUGAGUAAUGCCUAGGGAUCUGCCCAGUCAAGGGGGAUAACAGUUGGAAACGACUGCUAAUACCGCAUACGCCCUACGGGGGAAAGGAGGGGACCUUCGGGCCUUCCGCGACAGGAUGAACCUAGGUGGGAUUAGCUAGUUGGUGAGGUAAUGGCUCACCAAGGCGACGAUCCCUAGCUGUUCUGAGAGGAUGAUCAGCCACACUGGGACUGAGACACGGCCCAGACUCCUACGGGAGGCAGCAGUGGGGAAUAUUGCACAAUGGGGGAAACCCUGAUGCAGCCAUGCCGCGUGUGUGAAGAAGGCCUUCGGGUUGUAAAGCACUUUCAGUAGGGAGGAAAGGUGAUGUGUUNAUAGCACAUUACUGUGACGNUCCUACANAANAANGAC
rnacentral:rRNA from 1 species